UAUGGCGCGGCCCGCGAGCAGAAAAUCUCGGGAUUUGUGUGUUUCCCUUCUCCAAGGCACAACGGGGUCGGUGUUUCCGUCGCUUUUCGGGAGGUAAUUCCAGGGACCAUGACUGGGCUGCUACAGGGAUCAGGUUAUCAGAAGAAACUGGGCACUCUGCAGUUAGCUCUUCUGUCACUUUCAGAAGAUUUUGGAGUAAGCUUACCAAGAAGGCCUGCCCAACUUGGAAGAGGGAGAGGAGAGUAGCCUGUUGACUGUCUCAAAGAGCCAAAGUGUGACCAUCUUAUCUUCACCUUCAGCCCAGUCAUUCUCUCUUGACAUCAACAAGGCAUCUCCCAAUGUGCACAAAUAACAGCAGGUACAGUGCAGGCCAUAGGCAGUGAGCUACAGCCCUGGCCUUGGCCCUUGGUUGUCAUCUCACAUCUCGGUGCUGUAGGCAAGGACUUCUUUCACUAGAUCAAGUUUCGGUGUUUGAUGUAAGCCAUAAUCCUCUUAUUAUUUUUU
rnacentral:lncRNA from 1 species